CCCAUCCCCUGGACUCACCUUUUAAAGCUUAUUCUGUCUCUUUCUAACUCCUUUGUCUCUGCCGGACUCCGGGUACCCUCUGGGUGGUGUGGGGCUGGUUUCCCCCAACAGUAAACAAGAUGAGUCUUCUUGGAAGAAGAAACUGAGUUUAACCCUGAAUACUUGACCUACAAGGCUUGGUUGCUGGGCUAAUUCAUAGUGAAGAGGAUCACGCUAUUCAACGUACAGACACAGGUUCCAAGGCAGCUGAAGGCACCUAUUGCCCAGUGAAAUGGAUUUUCCUGGGGAACAGGCUUCUUCUCCUUGUGUUCCUUGGUGUCCUACGAACUUGGCAUAUUCAGGCACAGGUGCUCAGCAAACCCUUGAGGCCUAACUCAGGGUAAUAAGAGGCCACCAGUACCCCAGGAGAGCCAGGCUGUGCCCAACUGAGGCCAUUACUUUUCUGUGGCUCAACUAAAUUACAUUUAUUGACCCGUACUCUUUUCAAGGUGAAGUACUAUGGAUUGUCAAAGGCCAUUGGGAUAAAUUUUUUUAUUUUGUCAUGUCUGAGCCCAUGUACAUGCUUAUUUUUUUUUUUUAAAAGAAGAAGUUUGGUCAAGAAGAGAUAAAAUAACUGCACGAACACCAUAUGUUAUCUAUUCUAAGCAUAUUUUUUCUCCACAAUUUAAGGUUUCUGAAAUCAAGAUAAGUCAUAAUAUAAAUGUAUACAGCUAAAAGGAAUAGGGUGUUUUUCUCCCAAAAUAUCAUUAUUAAAAUGAUCUGCUUUUUAAAAUUCAGUGGUGUCUUCUGUUGAUAGAGAUGUGAAUUAGUACACUAUUAUGGAAAAACAGUAUGAAGGUUCCUAAAAGAAUUAAAAAUAAAACUACCAUUUGAUCCAGC
rnacentral:lncRNA from 1 species